rnacentral:rRNA from 1 species
UACGAAGGGGGCUAGCGUUGCUCGGAAUCACUGGGCGUAAAGCGCACGUAGGCGGAUUGUUAAGUCAGGGGUGAAAUCCUGGAGCUCAACUCCAGAACUGCCUUUGAUACUGGCGAUCUUGAGUCCGGGAGAGGUGAGUGGAACUGCGAGUGUAGAGGUGAAAUUCGUAGAUAUCAAGCAGAACACCUGCGGCGAAGGCGGCCUUCUGGACGAUGACUGACGCUGAGACGCGAAAGCGUGGGGAGCAAACAGG